UACUAUAACAUGUAGAAUCAUUAUAAUGGAUCCAGGUUCAUACUAUAACAUGUAGAAUCAUUAUGAUGAUCCAGGUUCAUAUUAUAACAUGUAGAAUCAUUAUGAUGAUCCAGGUUCAUACUAUAACAUGUAGAAUCAUUAUGAUGAUCCAGGUUCAUACUAUAACAUGUAGAAUCAUUAUGAUGAUCCAGGUUCAUACUAUAACAUGUAGAAUCAUUAUGAUGAUCCAGGUUCAUACUAUAACAUGUAGAAUCAUUAUGAUGAUCCAGGUUCAUACUAUAACAUGUAGAAUCAUUAUGAUGAUCCAGGUUCAUACUAUAACAUGUAGAAUCAUUAUGAUGAUCCAGGUUCAUACUAUAACAUGUAGAAUCAUUAUGAUGAUCCAGGUUCAUAUUAUAACAUGUAGA